UGAAUACGAGACGCUACGGCGUCGAAGCAGUCUAUGUCAUACUUCCAAGAAAAGCUUGCAAUGUCAUAAACAAAUAAUGCCUGUACCAUAACCGACACAGGUGGGUGGGUAGAGUAUACUAAGGGGCGCGAGAUAACUCUCUCUAAGGAACUCGGCAAAAUGACUCCGUAACUUCGGGAGAAGGAGUGCCUUAUUUAUAAGGUUGCAAUAACAAGAUCCAAGCAACUGUUUAUCAAAAACACAGGUCUCCGCUAAGUCGUAAGACGAUGUAUGGGGGCUGACGCCUGCCCAGUGCCAGAAGGUUAAAGAAGUUGGUUAGCAUUCGCGAAGCUGAUAACUGAAGCCCUGGUGAACGGCGGCCGUAACGAUAACGGUCCUAAGGUAGCGAAAUUCCUUGUCGGGUAAGUUCCGACCCGCACGAAAGGCGUAAUGAUUUGGAUACUGUCUCGGAGAGGGGCUCGGUGAAAUAGACUUGUCUGUGAAGAUGCGGACUACCUGCACCUGGACAGAAAGACCCUAUGAAGCUUUACUGUAACUUGAAAUUGAAAUUGGACUUUAUUUGCGCAGCAUAGGUGGGAGGCGUUGAGAGUAUUCUUGCGGGAAUAUUGGAGCCAUCAGUGAGAUACCACUCUUGUAAUGUUAGAUUUCUAACUUUGGAUCAUUAUCUGGUCAAAGAACAGUUUCAGGCGGGCAGUUUGACUGGGGCGGUCGCCUCCCAAAUGGUAACGGAGGCGUACAAAGGUUUCCUCUGAACGGGUAGAAAUCGUACCUAGAGUGUAAAGGCAUAAGGAAGCUUGACUGUGAGACCUACAAGUCGAGCAGGGACGAAAGUCGGUCUUAGUGAUCUGACGGUGCUGAGUGGAAAGGCCGUCACUCAACGGAUAAAAGUUACUCUAAGGAUAACAGGCUGAUCUCCCCCAAGAGUUCACAUCGACGGGGAGGUUUGGCACCUCGAUGUCGGCUCAUCGCAUCCUGGGGCGGUAGUACGUCCCAAGGGUUGGGCUGUUCGCCCAUGAAAGCGGUACGCGAGCUGGGUUCAGAACGUCGUGAGACAGUUCGGUCCAUAUCCGGUGUAGGCGUUAGAAUAUUGAGAGGAGCCCUCUUUAGUACGAGAGGACCGAGAAGGACAUACCUCUGGUGUACCAGUUAUCGUGCCAACGGUAAACGCUGGGUAGCUAUGUAUGGAGAGGAUAACCGCUGAAAGCAUCUAAGUGGGAAGCCCACCUCAAGAUAAG
rnacentral:rRNA from 1 species